UACGUAGGGUGCAAGCGUUGUCCGGAAUCAUUGGGCGUAAAGAGCUCGUAGGCGGUUUGGCGCGUCCGCUGUGAAAACCCGAGGCUCAACCUCGGGCCUGCAGUGGGUACGGGCAGACUAGAGUGCGGUAGGGGAGAUUGGAAUUCCUGGUGUAGCGGUGGAAUGCGCAGAUAUCAGGAGGAACACCAAUGGCGAAGGCAGAUCGCUGGGCCGUAACUGACGCUGAGGAGCGAAAGCAUGGGGAGCGAACAGG
rnacentral:rRNA from 1 species